AGCAACCAAAAUUCUUACAUGCAAAUGCCAUCAAAACGACUUUUCUGGAAUGCAAAGUCCUUGAGUUAAGAGAGCUAUCAUAAUAUUCAACAUCCAAGAACAACUCUCUUCCUCACAAAUCUCACUUAUUCCCAACUUUUUCCCUUUUCUUUUGCACUGAGCUCAUCUUCAUGCUUUUUCUACUUUUAUUUUCUUUUUCUCAUGUAUUUUUCUUUAACAACUUUUAAGCUUAAUGCUCUUCAAUUGCCUUUCAAUUUCCCCCAACAACCCCAAACUUGAACCUUUUCAUCACAUACAAUCAAGCUCAUCCCAACUCAAGGUAAAGAAUUUCAAAACAAGGGUUCACAACCUGUUUAAGGUUAAGGUUCAAAAUGGGUAUAAUUUUUUC
rnacentral:lncRNA from 1 species